rnacentral:rRNA from 1 species
UACGGGGGGGGCAAGCGUUGUUCGGAUUUACUGGGCGUAAAGGGCGCGUAGGCGGCCACCGCAAGUCGACUGUGAAAUCUCCGGGCUUAACCCGGAAAGGUCAGCCGAUACUGCGGGGCUAGAGUGCAGAAGGGGCAACUGGAAUUCUCGGUGUAGCGGUGAAAUGCGUAGAUAUCGAGAGGAACACCUGCGGCGAAGGCGGGUUGCUGGGCUGACACUGACGCUGAGGCGCGAAAGCUAGGGGAGCGAACGGGG